CCUCUAUUAAUCCCCCUAAUUUUUUGUCCACGUGGCAACAUUAGGCUAAUUCAACUUUGGUGGUCCCUACAUGUCAUCUUAAAAUAUUCAAUCUAGGCUAAUUCAAUCCCACGUCAUCAAGCCCCUUCGUCCCCGCCUCUUCGAUCGCUCCCUGAUUCCCACCGCUUCGAUCGCUGCCCCGCCUCUUCGAACCCCCCCUGCACAACCACCUCUUCAAUCCUUCCUCCGCUACUUCGAACCCUCCCCCACAACCGCCUCUUCAAUCAUUUCGUUUUUUUUUUCUCUCCGCCUUGCCCCUCGCCCCUCUCUCUCUCCCCCUCCGAUCCCGCGGCGCGAUCUUCGCCGGGAUUCGCAGCGGGGGGAGAGGAAGGCGGCGUCGUUGAGGGGGUGGUGAUCGAGGGAGAGUGAUAUCUUCUUCUUCGAUCCUUUCUCCAACGGCGAGCGAUGGCGAUGGGAGGGAUCUCAGGGAGGAAGAUGAAGAGAACGAUGAUAAUGGUGAGAACGCAGGGGAGGAAGAGGACACGUACUUGAGCGACGGUGUAGAAGAGGAGGACGACGACUCCGACUUCGGGGAGAACAUCCUCAACGGCCUCGAAGACUCCGCCGUGGUCGAGGAUUGUUCCCGGUCCGUCUCCACGGUUAUCACAAAGGAGUAUGUUUUAGUGGCGCAGCAACGCCAAGCUUACCUAUGGCCGAUCCUACAUCAUAAUCGCAUACUACGUCCUACUCUGGGUUGUUAGCGUUCUCAAUGUCCUAUGAUACGUCAUCCAGAAACCAGGGGGAAUCAUUGCUCUUCUGGACGAGACUUGUAUGCUACCAAGAUCAACUCAUGAAACAUUUGCCCAGAAGUUAUAUCAAACAUUUAAAGAUCAUCCACGCUUUAGCAAGCCUAAAUUUUCAGUCUGGCUUCACCAUCCAUCAUUAUGCUGGUGAUGCUAAGAGAUUGUAGGGCUUUAUUUCUGAUGCUUGAGCACAAGCAUUGUGCUCAUUCCUGGCCCAGUUCUUUGACUAGAGGGUUAGAACCAGGUGAUAAGCGAUUGCAUUUUUCGCAGAAGACAACUUGCUGACACUUCUUCAAUAAUUUAAUUAUUUUGAAUCGAAACCCUUAACUAAUAUAUUGUUUAGUAUAAGAAUGUGUUUUUAUGGUCAUGUAAGACGAGGUAUUAAGAAACAGAACAUCAUUAACAUUGUGUUCUGCUCAAUGGAAUAAGAAACUUCGCUUUUCAUUUUUGUCUUAUUGCAGGGCUACGUUAUAUUGGAUCUAAUUUGUCAUGUAUUCUGGACGAGAAUUAUCAGCCUCCUGUCGACUUCAAUAUCAUUUUCCCUGCAAUGCUUGAACUUGCCAUCGAUUUGGGUUUAGACAUUCCCAUAAGUCAGCAUGCUAUUUAGGAUAUUCUUUGCCUUCGAGAUUUAGAAUUGAAAAGGUCAGGCGCGAUGGUUAUUCCAAUGUAAAUUUUGUGUGAAUCUUCUAUCAUCAAAUUUCACUCAGUAUACAAAUUUUUUUUUGUAAUUGACAUUUAUGUUGUGAUACGUAUAUUGAUUUUUUAGGGAUUCUGCACACAAUUCUGAGGGACGAAAAGCAUACAUGGCAUAUGUAUCCCAAGGAUUAGAAUAUUUCUAAGAGUCUAUUU